rnacentral:lncRNA from 1 species
ACCUGAGGGACUGGAGUUGAGAUAUGAAGUCUAGACUCAGCCGAUGCUGUCUCCAGGUCUCUAAGAGGUGGACCAAAGAAAGCCACAUGUGGCCCAUUGCGGUGUUGUCCUGUGUCCUGUGUGCUAAACAGGAGCGGCUUAGAAGAUUCCAGUUACCAAAAUCUUCUUAAAGAGAACCAUUUAGAUGCAAGUCUCAAGCAAUGCUGGUAUCCUAGAUCAUGAGAACUGUCUGAUCUCUCACUGGGAAAUGGCGUUGUUCCCAAGCAUCCUUCAGAGAAGCUGGAGGCCAAGACUAGCAGCAGCUCAUCAGAGUGACAGGCGUCUACUCUCUGCAGAAACUCUGCUUUCAGAGCACCCCAACAUCCAGAGAGACGCCCAGCGAGCUGCUGUCUACUGAAAACUUGGUCUCAAGCCACUAGACCCCUGCAGCGUACACACUAUCACAGUAUCUAAUUACUUCCUCAAAAUGCCUGCACCCUGAACUAUUACCAAUAAACUCGGAAUCUGGGGCGGGGUGUGGCCUGUGCACUCCCCCU